rnacentral:rRNA from 1 species
GAUGAACGCUAGCGGGAGGCUUAACACAUGCAAGUCGAGGGGCAUCACGGGGUAGCAAUACUCUGGUGGCGACCGGCGCACGGGUGAGUAACGCGUAUGUAACCUACCCUGUACAGGGGGAUAGCCCGGAGAAAUUCGGAUUAAUACCCCAUAAUAAUAUUGGAAGGCAUCUUUUGAUAUUUAAAGUUACGGCGGUACAGGAUGGGCAUGCGUGACAUUAGCUAGUUGGUAGGGUAACGGCCUACCAAGGCUACGAGGUCUAGGGGUCCUGAGAGGGUGAUCCCCCCCACUGGUACUGGGACACGGACCAGACUCCUACGGGAGGCAGCAGUGAGGAAUAUUGGUCAAUGGACGGAAGUCUGAACCAGCCAUCCCGCGUGCAGGAAGAAGGCGCUAUGCGUUGUAAACUGCUUUUCCAGGGGAAGAAAUUUUCGCACGUGUGCGGAAUUGACGGUACCUUGGGAAUAAGCAUCGGCUAACUCCGUGCCAGCCGCCGCAGUAAAAC